UACGGGGGGGGCAAGCGUUGUUCGGAAUUACUGGGCGUAAAGGGCGCGUAGGCGGGUGUUUAAGUUAGGUGUUUAAUCCCAGGGCCCAACCCUGGUCAGGCACCUAAAACUGGACAUCUUGAAUAGUGGAGAGGACGAUGGAAUUGGGGGUGUAGCGGUGGAAUGCGUAGAGAUCCCCAAGAACACCAGUUGCGAAGGCGGUCGUCUGGACACAUAUUGACGCUGAGGCUCGAAAGCGUGGGUAGCGAACAGG
rnacentral:rRNA from 1 species